AUUGAACGCUGGCGGAAUGCUUUACACAUGCAAGUCGAACGGCAGCACGGGGGCAGCCCUGGUGGCGAGUGGCGAACGGGUGAGUAAUACAUCGGAACGUGCCCGGUCGUGGGGGAUAACGUAGCGAAAGUUACGCUAAUACCGCAUACGAUCUGAGGAUGAAAGCGGGGGACCUUCGGGCCUCGCGCGAUCGGAGCGGCCGAUGUCAGAUUAGGUAGUUGGUGGGGUAAAGGCCUACCAAGCCGACGAUCUGUAGCUGGUCUGAGAGGACGACCAGCCAACUGGGGACUGAGCAACGGCCCAGACCCCCAGGGGGGGCGGCGGGGGGGAAUUUGGGAAAAGGGGGGCAAGCCUGACCCAGCCAUUCGGGGGGCAGGAGGAAGGCCUGCGGGUGGUAAACUGUUUUUGUACGGAACAAAAAGGCUCUGGCUAAAACCUGGGGCUCAGGACGGGACCGAAAAAAAAAGAACGGGCAAAUUACGG
rnacentral:rRNA from 1 species